rnacentral:rRNA from 1 species
GACGAACGCUGGCGGCGUGCUUAACACAUGCAAGUCGAACGGAAAGGCCCUGCUUUUGUGGGGUGCUCGAGUGGCGAACUGGUGAGUAACACGUGAGUAACCUGCCCUUGACUUUGGUAUAACUUCAGGAAACUGUGGCUAAUACCGGAUAGGAGCUCCUGCUGCAUGGUGGGGGUUGGAAAGUUUCGGCGGUUGGGUCUGGACUCGCGGCUUAUCAGCUUGUUGGUGGGGUAGUGGCUUACCAAGGCUUUGACGGGUAGCCGGCCUGAGAGGGUGACAGGCCACAUUGGGACUGAGAUAGGGCCAAGACUCAUACGGGAGGAAGCGGUGGGGAAUAUUGCAAAAUGGGCGGAAGCAUGAUGCAGCAACGCCGCGUGCGGGAUGACGGCCUUCGGGUUGUAAACCGCUUUCGCCUGUGACGAAGCGUGAGUGACGGUAAUGGGUAAAGAAGCACCGGCUAACUACGUG